AUGAGGAACAAUGUUCAUUCAGCAGAUUUUCAUCCAAAAUCCUAAGCUUUGUCCACAGGAGAAAAAAAUGUGUUUGGUGUAUGAGAACCUUAUGGGUUCUUUAUUAGACUCAUUAUCUCAUGUGGGAAUUCUUAUCAUGUAUCUUUCUGUUACCUAAAAUUACCUUGUUUUGUCAGUGCAGAAAAGUUGACAUGACAGCCUAAAAGAACCAUGUAAACACUUCUCUCAUUUAUUAGAUUCAGUUGUGGCAGACAGUUUUUUCUGCCAUGAUAUACCUGAUCCAUAGAUAAUAUUAUGAAUAAUAGAAAAUUUUUUGUUUACCUAUCAAAAAAAAAAAAGGAAAAAAAAUAAUAGAAUUUUUUUUGUUAUUGCCCCUUAAAAUCAAUAAUAGGUAAGAGAAUCUAAAAAUAUCAAAUUUAGAUAUUUGCACUCGGACGAAAUAAGGAAACAUGACAUAUAUGUUUUGGAUUAGAUUCCAUUUUGAGAAAGUUGAAAAAGUACCAUCACAUUGGAAAGGUCCCAAACACCUUCCCUUCCUCAAUGCAUUUCUUAACUUAUCUCUUCAUUAUCUCAUGUGGGAAGUCCCAUUAGGUAUCCUUCUAUUACCUAGGAUUACCAUUUCUUGAGCGAUGCUUCUUUAGUGUAGUUGAUGUAUGAGAGCCUAAAAGAACCAUGUAAACACUUCUCUCAUUUAUUAGAUUCAGUUGUGGCAGACAGUUUUUUCUGCCAUGAUAUACCUGAUCCAUAGAUAAUAUUAUGAAUAAUAGAAAAUUUUUUGUUUACCUAUCAAAAAAAAAAAA
rnacentral:lncRNA from 1 species